GGCCUGAUGGUCUAGUAGCAUGAUUCCUCGUUUGGGUUUUCACGUGAGAACGAAUUUCGAGGAGGUCCGGGGUUCAACUCCCCGUCAGGCCC